UACGUAGGGGGCGAGCGUUGUCCGGAUUUAUUGGGCGUAAAGAGCGUGUAGGCGGUUCGGUAAGUCUGUCGUGAAAUCCUGAGGCUCAACCUCGGGCGUGCGAUGGGUACUGCCGGGCUAGAGGAUGGUAGAGGCGAGUGGAAUUCCCGGUGUAGCGGUGAAAUGCGCAGAUAUCGGGAGGAACACCAGUAGCGAAGGCGGCUCGCUGGGCCAUUCCUGACGCUGAGACGCGAAAGCUAGGGGAGCGAACAGG
rnacentral:rRNA from 1 species